UUUUUUUGCCUAUUUUAGAGUUUUGCAGAAAAGGAAUACCAAACGGAGUCCAAACGGAAUAAAACUUUCGCGAUGAUAUUUCUUGGACCAGAAGCAAACUAGGAAACUUGGAGAUGAAGUCGGAGACGCAACAAGGCGGCCACGAGGGUGGAGGGCGCACCUAGGGGGGUAGGGCACGCCCCCUACCUCGUGGGCCCCUCGGAGGUCUCUUGACCUAAUUCUUUCGCCCAUAUACACUCUUAUACCCCCAAAACCAUCAGGGAGAGCCACAAAAACACUUUUCCACCGCUGCAACCUUUUGUACCCGUGAUCCCAUCUAGGGGCCUUUUCCGGUGUCCUGCCAGAGAGGGAUUUGAUCAUGGAGGGCUUCUACAUCAACACCAUUGCCCAUCCGAUGAAGCGUGAGUAUUUUACCUCAGACCUACGGGUCCAUAGCUAGUAGCUAGAUGGCUUCUUCUCUCUCUCUUUGAUUAUCAAUACCAUGUUCUCCUCGAUGUUCUUGGAGAUCUAUUCAAUGUAAUACUCUUUUGCGGUGUGUUUGCCGAGAUCCGAUGAAUUGUGGAUUUAUCAUCAUAUUAUCUAUGAAUAUUAUUUGAGUCUUCUCUGAAUUCUUAAAUGCAUGAUUUGAUAUCUUUGCAAGUCUCUUCGAAUUAUUGGUUUUGUUUGGCCUACUAGAUUGUUUUUUCUUGCAAUGGGAGAAGUGCUUAGCUUUGGGUGCAAUCUUGCAGUGUCCUUUCCCAGUGAUAGGAGGGGCAGCAAGGCACAUAUUUUAUUGUUGCCAUCGAGGAUAAAAAGAUGGGAUUUUCAUCAUAUUGCUUGAGUUAAUUCCUCUACAUCAUGUCAUCUUCCUUAAUGCGUUACUCUGUUCUUUAUGAACUUAAUACUCUAGAUGCAGGCAGAAGUCGGUCAAUGUGUGAAGUAAUAGUAGUAGAUGCAGAAUUGUUUCGGUCUACUUGACACGGACGUGAUGCGUAUGUUCAUGAUCAUUGCCUUAGAUAUCGUCAUAUUUAUGCGCUCUUCUAUCAAUUGCCCGACAGUAAUUUGUUCACCCGCCAUAUUAUUUUCUAUCUUGAGAGAAGCCACUAGUGAAACCUAUGGCCCCUGGGUCUCUUUUCCAUCGUAUUAAGUCUAUUUUCCAUCAUACUAGUUUCCGAUCUACUAUUUUGCAAUCUUUUACUUUCCGAUCUAUAAACCAAAAAUAACAAAAAUAUUUACUUUACCUUUUAUCUAUCUCUAUCAGAUCUCACUUUUGCAAGUAACCGUGAAGGGAUUGACAACCCCUUUUUCGCGUUGGGUGUAAGUUUGUUGAUUGUUUGUGUAGGUAUUCGGUGACUUGUGCGUUGUCUCCUACUGGAUUGAUACCUUGAUUCUCAAACUGAGGGAAAUAAUUACUCUACUUUGAUACAUCACCCUUUCCUCUUCAAGGGAAAAACCAAUGCAAGCUCAAGAAGUAGCAGGGUCCUCCCCAAUUUGGCCUCCCCCCUUCCAUAAAUGCCGGAGGAGGAAGGAAAGAGGAGGGAGGAGGGAAGGAAGGGGGAGGCCGAAGCCCGAUCCCCUUUCCUUUCUCCCUCCCCUUCUUUCCUUCUCCUCUGGUUCGGCCCAUAUGGGGGGGGGGGCACCAGCCCCUGGUGGCUGGUGUGUUUCCCCUCUUGGCCCAAUAGGCCAAUAUCUUUUGCCGGGGGUGCCCGGAACCCCUUCCGAUGACCCGAUACGUACCCGAUACCGUCCGGAACACUUCCAGUGUCCAAAUACUAUCGUCCAAUAUAUCAAUCUUUACCUCUCGACUAUUUCGACACUCCUCGUCAUGUCGGUGUUCUCAUCUGGGACUCUGAACAACAUUCACCAAUCCACAUAACUCAUAUAAUACAAUAUCAUCAUCGAACGUUAAGCGUGCGGACCCUACGGGUUCGAGAACUAUGUAGACAUGACCGAGACACCUCUCCGGUCAAUAGCCAAUAGCGGAACCUGGAUGCUCAUAUUGGCUCCCAUAUAUUCUACGAAGAUCUUUGUCGAUCGAACCAUUUUGACAACAUACGUUAUUCCCUUUGUCAUCGGUAUGUUACUUGCCCGAGAUUCAAUCGUUGUUAUCUUCAUACCUAGUUCAAUCUCGUUACCAACAAGUCUAUUUACUCGUUCUGUAAUACAUCAUCCUACAACUAACUCACUAAUCACUUUGCUUGCAAGGAUUCUUAUGAUGUGUAUUACCGAGAGGGCCCAGAGAUACCUCUUCGAUACUCGGAGUGACAAGUCCUAAUCUCGAUCUAUGCCAACCCAACAAACACCUUCGAAGAUACCUGUAGAGCAUAUUUAUAAUCACCCACUUAUGUUGUGAAGUUGGAUAGCCCACAAGGCAUUCCUCCGGUACCCGGGAGUUGCAUAAUCUCAUAGUUGAAGGAGUAUGUAUUUGACAUGAAGAAAGCAAUAGCAAUAAAACUGAACGAUUAUAAUGCUAAGCUAACGAAUGGGUCUUCUCCAUCAAAUCAUUCUCCUAACGAUGUGAUCCCGUUUAUCAAAUGACAACACAUGUCUGUGGUUAGGAAACUUAACCAUCUUUGAUCAACGAGCUAGUCUAGUAGAGGCUUACUAGGGACAUGGUAUUUUGUCUAUGUAUCCACACAUGUAUCAAGUUUCCGGUUAAUACAAUUCUAGCAUGAAUAAUAAACAUCUAUUAUAUUAUAUACUUAAAACAAGAGUAAAACAAGUCAUCACGUUCGUCCACAUAUGCUAAUCUAUUUUGCACCGUUUGAUUAGAAUAACAAUGGCUGAGAUUUAAAGAUUCUUACGUAAUAUCUAAAAAUAUAUGUACCAACAAUAUUGAACUUUCACGUUGUCACGUUAGAUGCAUAUAGAAGCAUAACGUAGAGAAAAAAUUAGGGAUAACGUAGGCGAACUGGAAGGCAUGCAUUGAUCUGAGACCAUUAUUGCAAUAGGAAAGACAUGUCGUGAUUUGGAUGUGAUGAAACAAGGAUAGAAAGUCAUGCAUCACCACGUAGGCACACGCAUGUACAAGAAUAAACUAUCCUUUAAAACACGUAACUUUUAGUACAACUAUUGUCACGUCCAAACAGACUGGACACUGGACACGUGUUUAAGACAAGGAAAUAUAUGAGUCUUUCCGCCCAAGAGUUAGAGGCAAGCACGACUCCAACUCCAACAUGUAAAUACAUUAGGAAACGAAAUCUCACUUCACGUGGACACAAUUCCAAACUGCUGACAGGUGCGUGCAUGCAAAUAAGAUUUAUGGAGUAGGAUACAACAUACAGAAUUCCACAACCAUGGAAAACCAAACACAUCUAGCCAGCCAAACCAGGCACACACCCAAGAAAGUAGAAGCCAGCCCAAACUACAGGACCAAAACACAAUCACAAAAAUCAAAGUCAGCCAAUACUAUGCCUGAUAAAGAUCGAAGCCAGGAAAAACCAAAGUUUCACGUGCAACUUGGUGCCGAUGCCGGAUGAAGUCAUGCCCCAACCUUUUGAGUUGCUUCUCACCUGAAUCAUCAAGUCAGGUAACUAUUUUUUAGUGAACUAACUUAUUCUGGAUUAAAUCAUCAACUGUACUUUCUUAAACAGCAACUAUGUUUCUGUUGCUUUUGAAGCUAAUACACAAUUCUACAACUUAUGAGCUUAUGAGGUUUGACAUGAUCUUGGUUGAUGAACAUGUUUAUUCUUUACAUAUUUAACUGAGAAUUAUUCUAUCUAAUUAUAUUUUGAUUGUUCUAACAGGGCAUACAAUGCAUGCUACAGUCUCGAAGAAUCUCUAGGCAUUUAUAAAGCAUUUUUAGUCAGAGAUCUACAUAUGCAACUUAGCAAUUUUAACCCAUAAAAUAUAGCCUGGUGAGCAAUGCAAUUGAAAAUAUUUUUUACAUGUAAGAUGUCAAAUAAAGUGAAAGAAACAUCAGAACUUUUAUCUAGAUUACUGUUUUGAAUUUCUAUCCAAGGACACGCUACGAGACGGGGAAAAAUAAUUCCUACGAGAACGGAGAAAGAUAAACAAUGCCCAGGUAUUGAAACCAACUUACAACUAAUUAUUCUUUCUGACGGUUACCACAAUUAAUCUCCAAAUUUACAUUCCAGAUUACUUAUAUAUAUACCUAUCAUUAUUGUGACCUUCCUAAUGGUUUUCAAUGGUAAGUCCAGUAAUAUACAUGCUCUUCCGCUUUUCAUGAAAAAAAACUAAUGUUGGAGAGAUUCACUGUUGACUUAACAGUUUUUUUAUCUAAAGUCAACAGAUGCCACAAGAAUGUUUAGACAUACCCAAGAAUCAGGAACUUCUUAACAGGUAUGAGACACUAUCUUUUUGUUAUUUGUCGACGAAUUGUGACUCAUGUAAACUCACUAAUGUAAAUAAUAGUUAUUCUUAACUCAAACCAUAAAUGUAGGCACUCAGCAGAAUAAAUUGUACCUAAAAUGAUCGAAAUAGAUAAAAGUACUCAAGGAUGCUAGAAAAAAAUGUUUUACUGGAGCAGAGCAUUACAAGAACUUACUACAAUGAAUCAAGAAAACCUACUAAAUCAGGUAAUCCAUCCGAGUUCUUUUGAGAUAUGAUAUCUUCGAAGAAAACCUGACCCUUGAGACCUGCAAUGACAUUUGAAUAUUUGAUUCAUAUCAAUUAUAAUGAAGUAACAUUUGACGUAUUUGUGUCACUUAGUUUUAUCACAAUGCUAGCAUUGAGUUUUAGUUUUAUCACAAUGCUAACAUUGAGUUUCUGGGUAAAUUUUCUGAUUAUGUGUUCAUAGCUACAGGCCUACAAUAGAUCUCCUGCAAGAAAAUAUUAAAUUAUCAUACAUGCCAUGUGAUGAUUAUCACAAAACAAUGGAAUUACGGAUAGAAACUGGAUAAUAGUAAAUGAAGAUGGGCGUCAAGAAGAAAAUAUCAACGUCACAUGAGCUCCGCGUGAUAAAGAAGGAUACCAAGAUCUAUUUCAAUAUCUGAUGGCUCAGGGGAUAAAUGAACAGAGACAAAUGUGCAACAAGGAAAAGAAAAAGAUGUACGAGAGAACAAAAACCAGUUCAACCAAAAAUAACUACUAGGGGUCGAAGAUGAAGAUUCAGAUGUCCAUUAUGGCCAAAGAAAACCUAAUGUUAAUGCAGCCAUUAGACAACACACUUAUCCACAAAUAAGUUGAUUAGUAGCUUAUCCUGUGAAAGUCGGACUAUAUGUAUUUCCCCAAAUAAAGAGCCUAAGAAUACUAGACAUUGGUCAAGAUAAGGAUGAUACUUAUUGGAUAGUAAGGGUCCGAAUGUUAGCACUAUUCAAUGCAUGUCAAAUUGCAAUUAUUCGGAAAAAACUUCUUCAAUAUAUGUUUCUGGCAAUAGCACUUCUAUAUCAUACAACAUUUUCAGUUCAUGAGAAGCAUAAGAAAACAUCCAAUGUUAUUAGCUUGGCCUGCAAAUGAUCAACCAUUGUUUGUUUAACAACAUAUAUAUGAACUAAGCUUCUUAUACUACAUGCAAGUCUUCUCGCUUUGUCUAUUACUAAUACAUACAAGUAAUAUUUUCUCAGAUAUGACAACAACAAAUCAAAAUAAUAUACUUUUUAGUCCAAAUUGGGAAAAAACACCUGUAAAGAGUCGGUUUCUAUGAAGGAAUAAAAAUAUAUAGUCCGGCAAAUCGCUUCUACCAGCGGACACACUUCUCAUCUUACUAAGUAUUUCUCUCCCAAUCUCUUUUUUUUGCGGGGGCUCCCGAUCUACUUCUACACAUCUACCUCCGCCAACCAAUACCUGACAAUAGCUGGAAGGAAAACCUCUAUAUUGUGCCGCAGAUCCAGCACGUGUACAUCAACCUCCCCUUCGGCAACCAAAUUUUGGGCUAAACGCUGCCCUCCCAUUGAUGGCCCUCCUCCAUCGAGCUGAGACCCAGCCACACAAGUUUGCCUCUGCUGCGUGCCCCAUUCUAGGUCGCCAUGAUUAGGGCUUGCGUUUAGUACCUGAGGAUGAGAAACUAUAAAAACAGUAGCGAGAAGUGACAUCAGAGAAUGUCAGGAAUUAGAUUCCUGGAAUACAUUAGCUAGAUCUUACUUCGCUGGCUGCUAAUCACAACCGGUGGCGCAUGUGGGUGAGGAGGACUAAAGGGGAUCGACUGAGAGGAGAGGAAGAUGCAGUUUUUCUUUUUAACUAAAGCAACAGUUCUAUGUAGAGGAUGACAUGUGCGUGUGGUUUGAGUAAAAAAAAAAUGAUGUCGACUUUUCCUGGGUCGCUAGGUGGGCUGGAGCAUCGCAACGAUGGCUUAAUAGAUGGGGUAAGUGAAGUAGGGCUUAGAAUUUUCUAAGACAG
rnacentral:lncRNA from 1 species